UGGUAUGUGAUGAAGGAAUUCGUUUUCUUUUUGUGGGUGUUUUAUUUGAUUUUAGUUUUGAUCUUGGCUUUUUUAUGUUGCAUGUCUUCUUCUUGAUGAGAUGAGAGUAAGUAAUACAAUCGAAGACGCGUGCAAGAAUUUGAGGAGGAACCAUAAGUCUUAUGAUUGGAUGUGAUUUGAUUUGUUUAUACGAGCAGUCUAAGCAAUAGCAAAAAGGAGCGUAGUGGUUGGUGCUUCUAAUUAUCGAAGGGCAAGAAGGUGAAUAGUGGAUUGUCAUUGAUUCUGGGAAAGUGAUAAUUCAUGGUCUUGAUAAGAUUGCUAGAGCGUAGAACAAUUUGGAGACCCUUUGGACUGAGAAAGAAUCAAUACAGAGGCAGGGUUAUUGUCAAGUAGAGAAGGUAUCUCAUGAUUUCUUCAGUCCCUGAGUCAGUCUUUGUUCUGUUUGCAUAACCAAAGGAAGAGAGGUCAUCAAGCAGAGAGAAACUCCCGACAGACAAAAUUGAAAUAGAUCGAAGAGAAGGAACUGCAUCAACAAGGGGUGUUGGAAGAAGGAUAAUCAAUUGAGUUCACGGUAUGAUUUCCAUGGUCAACCUGGGUAUAGAGGGGCAAAGUCGUCUUAUAAUCACCUAGGUAAUUUUGAUUCUACAUGUAAGGAAGAUCACACUAUUUUUUUCUAUUGUUAGACAUUUUUUGUUAUGUUUGUAUGUGAAGAGGUGUUCCAUUGUUACUGCAAUUUUUUCCUCUGUGGUUUUGUGGGAACUAAAAUCAAGUUUAAGUCAGGCAGUGCAUGUGGAACUUCUAAUUUUACACUAAUGAUGAGUAAAACUAAUGUAUAUAGGGCCAAACGUUUCUUAUUGUUGUAUAUUCAAAUUGUUUUCUGAGACCGGAAAUAAAAACUUGAACAUAGAAGUGCUUAGAUACAAAAGUUUCACGUAACAAGAUUUGAGCCUAAUGAUUAAUUGUAAAUGAUGGUAUCUGUGAAGUUUGAUGCUGGGUUGUAGAUCUACAAAAAAAAUGAAGAUAUUUGUGGGACAUGGAGAUAAUCAGUU